CACGUAGGGUGCGAGCGUUGUCCGGAAUUAUUGGGCGUAAAGAGCUCGUAGGCGGUGUGUCGCGUCGGCCGUGAAAACCUGUGGCUUAACUGUGGGCUUGCGGUCGAUACGGGCAUCACUGGAGUUCGGCAGGGGAGACUGGAAUUCCUGGUGUAGCGGUGAAAUGCGCAGAUAUCAGGAGGAACACCGGUGGCGAAGGCGGGUCUCUGGGCCGAUACUGACGCUGAGGAGCGAAAGCUGGGGGAGCAAACGGG
rnacentral:rRNA from 1 species